rnacentral:lncRNA from 1 species
UAAAAAAAUGAGAAAUGAUUCAGUACUUUAUUUGAGAAAAAAUAAAAAAUAUCUUAACCGUUGAUUAAUAGACGGUGAAGAUGUAAUUUUAAUAUUUUGAGGGUAAAAGGAUUAUUUCAUUCAAGAUUAUUUUUGUAAUUAAACAAUGCAACAUUUAAAGAAAGUUUUAAUUGAUAUCCUAAAUUUACGCAUUAAUUUGCACUAAUUUGGGUAAUUGAUUAAUUACCCAAAUUUAGGCAUUAAUAUAGGCCUUAAUUUACGCAUUUAUUUUAGAAAAAAAUUUAGUGUUUCUAAAAUUUAGGUAUUAAUUUAAAUUAUAGGAAUUUGAGAAAUAGUUCUAUUUCUAAAUACAUUGAAUGUAAAUAUUAAAUAUUAAAU